CGCCUCCUGGUGCGUACUACAGGCUGUGUUCUUACACUGCCUGUAUAAAAACAGGAGGCAGAGUAAAGUACCCCAUGUACACCUCAGCCCAGGCCUUGCAUCUGGUCUGCACUGUGAAUAGCGGAACAUGG